CAGUCGCCGCGGUAAUACGGAGGGUGCAAGCGUUAUCCGGAUUCACUGGGUUUAAAGGGUGCGUAGGCGGGCAGGUAAGUCAGUGGUGAAAUCUUCGAGCUUAACUCGGAAACUGCCGUUGAUACUAUCUGUCUUGAAUAACGUUGAGGUGAGCGGAAUAUGUCAUGUAGCGGUGAAAUGCUUAGAUAUGACAUAGAACACCGAUUGCGAAGGCAGCUCACUAAACGCUCAUUGACGCUGAGGCACGAAAGCGUGGGGAUCAAACAGGAUUAGAUACCCGGGUAGUCCCUGUCUCUUAUAA
rnacentral:rRNA from 1 species